GCCCUCUUAGCUCAGUUGGUAGAGCACCUCCAUGGUAAGGAGGGGGUCGACGGUUCGAGUCCGUCAGCGGGCU
rnacentral:tRNA from 1 species